rnacentral:rRNA from 1 species
UACAGAGGUCCCAAGCGUUGUUCGGAUUCACUGGGCGUAAAGGGUGCGUAGGCGGUCGGGUAAGUCUGAUGUGAAAUCUCACAGCUUAACUGUGAAACUGCAUUGGAUACUAUCCGGCUCGAGGAAUGGAGGGGAGACUGGAAUACUUGGUGUAGCAGUGAAAUGCGUAGAGAUGUGGAGGAACACCGAUGGCGAAGGCAGCCCCCUGGGGUAACACUGACGCUCAUGCACGAAAGCGUGGGGAGCAAACAGG